GACGAACGCUGGCGGCGCGCUUAAUACAUGCAAGUCGAACGUGAAGCCCGGGCUUGCCCGGGUGGAAAGUGGCGAACGGGUGAGUAACACGUGAGAAACCUGCCUCGGAGACCGGGAUAACCAAUGGAAACGUUGGCUAAUACCGGAUGCCUUCACCGGACCGCAUGGUCUGGUGAAGAAAUGGAUUCCGCUCCGAGAUGGUCUCGCGGCCUAUCAGCUUGUUGGUGGGGUAACGGCUCACCAAGGCUUUGACGGGUAGUUGGUCUGAGAGGACGACCAACCACACUGGGACUGAGAGACGGCCCAGACUCCUACGGGAGGCAGCAGUAGGGAAUCUUGCUCAAUGGGCGAAAGCCUGAAGCAGCGACGCCGCGUGCGGGACGAAGGCCCUCGGGUCGUAAACCGCUUUCAGCAGGAACGAAAUUGACGGUACCUGCAGAAGAAGCACCGGCCAACUACGUGCCAGCCGCCGCCGUAA
rnacentral:rRNA from 1 species